rnacentral:lncRNA from 1 species
AGUGACUGUCACUACCAUCCCUGCUAGCCAAGCAAUGAAUCCCAGCAGCCAUGGCCAGACAAUUCCUGUUCAAACUUUUCCUGAUGAGAAUAGUAUCGAGGAUACACCUUCAAAAUGCUACUGCCGAUUGAAAGCCAUGAUCAUGUGUAAAGGAUGUGGGGCUUUCUGCCAUGAUGAUUGCAUUGGCCCCUCCAAACUGUGUGUCUCCUGCCUCGUUGUUCGGUAAUAAGAUGACAGCGUAUGUAAGGAGGGAAGGGUAGGCUUAAAAAGACGUGUUCUUGCACCCUUUUUAAAUCACAGAAAUAAAGUUUCAGUUGUCUCAAGAGACAUUAAUCAGGAAUGCAGAAUGCAGGUCUUGACAUUUACAGGAAGAGCACCUUGUAUAGUAGGUCUGAGUCAAAUAGGACUGAAUUGGUGACAAAGUUUGCACUUACAAAAUCAUGUAAAUAUGUCACAUUUUGUUUUAACAUUUUUUUUCAAAGUAUUUAGGUAAUGAUGUGUUAACUUUACAUUCAGAUUUAUUUUCCAUUUCUUUUGACUCUGUUCAUGGUAUGCAUGGUAAAAGGAAGCUGUCUGCCUCUGACCUUUCCUAGGGCUCCAAGGAAAGCUAGGAAGUGCCCAUCAUACUGAUUGUCUUCACAAACUGGUGCAGUCAGGUUCUAAACAAAUAAGAUGACCUUUGUGGGGUUUAGAUUCAGGGUUUGCUCAUCCCUUUACUUUAGAUGGAACCAUUUUCAGUGGGAUUUUCAAAAGGUAUUAACAUCCCAGACAGUGUUUUUGACCCUAACAGUCCUGGCUUAGCUCUUGGCUUCCAUGAAUCAGUACUGUAGUUAAGCAGAGAUCUGCUGUUAAGGUUCUGCUUCUAAGGGACUCACUAUGUUAGACUAGUGUGUGCACAGCAGUAGCAGCAGCAGUAAUGCAUCCCAGCAUUGCAUCCUUCACAGGCUCCCAGAGACAUGCUAGAUGUGCGUGUGUGUGUGUGUGUGUGUGUGUGUGUGUGUGUGUGUGUGUGUGUGUGUGUACACUAAAUGUUGGAAAAGGAGAAUGAAAUUGAAGAAACGGAGACUUCAAGGAAUUUGGAAGACUGGUUUUGACACUGGACAGAAAAUAGUCUUUUCAUAGUCUCUCAAACCAUUUUAGGUAGAAAAGUCUUUGGUACUUCUUUGGCAUCCAGAGCAUCAGAGAUGGACGCGGCAACCUUAUGCCAUCCUAUCAUAAUACAUUUUUGCACCCACACACAAUACAAGAAGCAGUUUGCUGUUUUAGAAAGUGAAUCAACUAUCCUAGAAUUUCAGCUGUCUGGACAGCCAGGAUGUCUACCCAGAACGGGCAUUGUGAGUGACUAAUGGAAUGUGAGGUUUUACUGUCUUCUGAUUUUUGUUUUUAAAAUCCUCCCAGCACUCUGGAGGCAGAGGCAAACCAGUCUCUAAGUUCAGGGCAGAGAAGCCCUGUCUCAAAAAACAAAAACGAAAAAACCCUAAAUAAAUAAAAGAAGUACACAAGGGGCUGAAGAGAUGGCUAAGUGGUUAAGGGCACUGACUGUUCUACAGAGGUCCUGAGUUCAGUUCUCAGCAACCACAUGGUGGCUCACAACCAUGUAUAAUGUGAUCCGAUGCCCUCUUCUGGUGUCUCUGAAGACAGUGGCAGUGUACUCACAUAUAGAAAAUAAAUAUUUUUA